rnacentral:lncRNA from 1 species
GAGAAUCGCUUGAACCCAGGAGGCAGAGGUUGCAGUAAGCCGAGAUCAUGCCACUGCACUCCACCCUGGGUGACAGAGCGAGACUCUGUCUCAAAAAGAAAAAAAAAAGAAAAGAGCUGUUUGGUGGGUGACUGUUUCUGCUGAGCAAGACCCUACCUUGGAGGCCACCUCUACUGUACCGGGGAGAGAUUUCCCAUGAAGAGGAGGAGGAAGUACUCUCCUCUCUGUAGCCCUAUCAUCCUCUGGUCAAGAGAUUGAGAUUCAGCUUUCAUGGAUGUAUUAGAAAUCAAGGCUGGACACAGUGGCUCACACUUGUAAUCUCAGCACUUUGGGAGGCCGAGGCAGGCAAAUCAAGUGAGCCCUGGAAUUCAAGACCAGUCUGGGCAAUAGCGAGACUCCCU